CGGCGGACGGGUGAGUAACACGUGGGCAACCUGCCUGUAAGACUGGGAUAACUUCGGGAAACCGGAGCUAAUACCGGAUAAUCCUUUUCUACUCAUGUAGGAAAGCUGAAAGACGGUUUACGCUGUCACUUACAGAUGGGCCCGCGGCGCAUUAGCUAGUUGGUGAGGUAACGGCUCACCAAGGCGACGAUGCGUAGCCGACCUGAGAGGGUGAUCGGCCACACUGGGACUGAGACACGGCCCAGACUCCUACGGAGGCAGCAGUAGGGAAUCUUCCGCAAUGGACGAAAGUCUGACGGAGCAACGCCGCGUGAGUGAUGAAGGUUUUCGGAUCGUAAAACUCUGUUGUUAGGGAAGAACAAGUACGAGAGUAACUGCUCGUACCUUGACGGUACCUAACCAGAAAGCCACGGCUAACUACGUGCCAGCAGCCGCGGUAAUACGUAGGUGGCAAGCGUUGUCCGGAAUUAUUGGGCGUAAAGCGCGCGCAGGCGGUCCUUUAAGUCUGAUGUGAAAGCCCACGGCUCAACCGUGGAGGGUCAUUGGAAACUGGGGGACUUGAGUGCAGAAGAGGAGAGUGGAAUUCCACGUUUAGCGGUGAAAUGCGUAGAGAUGUGGAGGAACACCAGUGGCGAAGGCGACUCUCUGGUCUGUAACUGACGCUGAGGCGCGAAAGCGUGGGGAGCGAACAGGAUUAGAUACCCUGUAGUCCACGCCGUAAACGAUGA
rnacentral:rRNA from 1 species